rnacentral:rRNA from 1 species
UAACACCUGGAAACAGAUGCUAAUACCGGAUAACAACAGAUGAUGCCUAUCAACUGUUUAAAAGAUGGUUCUGCUAUCACUCUUGGAUGGACCUGCGGUGCAUUAGCUAGUUGGUAGGGUAACGGCCUACCAAGGCGAUGAUGCAUAGCCGAGUUGAGAGACUGAUCGGCCACAUUGGGACUGAGACACGGCCCAAACUCCUACGGGAGGCAGCAGAC